UCGAGAGUUUGAUCCUGGCUCAGGAUGAACGCUAGCGGCAGGCUUAACACAUGCAAGUCGAGGGGUAUAGUUCUUCGGAACUAGAGACCGGCGCACGGGUGCGUAACGCGUAUGCAAUCUACCUUUCACAGAGGGAUAGCCCAGAGAAAUUUGGAUUAAUACCUCAUGGUAUUAUGGAAUGGCAUCAUUCUAUAAUUAAAGUCACAACGGUGAAAGAUGAGCAUGCGUCCCAUUAGCUGGAUGGUAAGGUAACGGCUUACCAUGGCUACGAUGGGUAGGGGUCCUGAGAGGGAGAUCCCCCGACACUGGGUACUGAGACACGGACCAGACUCCUACGGGAGCAGCAGUGAGGAAUAUGGACAAUGGGGCGCAAGCCCUGAUCCCAGCCAUGCCGCGUGCAGGAUGACGGUCCUAUGGAUUGU
rnacentral:rRNA from 1 species